UAUGAAGGGUGCAAACGUUGCUCGGAAUUAUUGGGCGUAAAGGGCUCGUAGGCGGCCAACUAAGUCAGACGUGAAAUCCCUCGGCUUAACCGGGGAACUGCGUCUGAUACUGGAUGGCUUGAGGUUGGGAGAGGGAUGCGGAAUUCCAGGUGUAGCGGUGAAAUGCGUAGAUAUCUGGAGGAACACCGGUGGCGAAGGCGGCAUCCUGGACCAAUUCUGACGCUGAGGAGCGAAAGCCAGGGGAGCAAACGGG
rnacentral:rRNA from 1 species